UACGUAGGUGACAAGCGUUGUCCGGAUUUACUGGGCGUAAAGAGCGCGCAGGCGGUCGAUCAAGUCGCGUGUGAAAGCCCCCGGCUCAACUGGGGAGGGUCAUUCGAUACUGAUCGACUCGAAGGCAGGAGAGGGUAGUGGAAUUCCCGGUGUAGUGGUGAAAUGCGUAGAUAUCGGGAGGAACACCAGUGGCGAAGGCGACUACCUGGCCUGUUCUUGACGCUGAGGCGCGAAAGCUAGGGGAGCAAACGGG
rnacentral:rRNA from 1 species